rnacentral:rRNA from 1 species
CGACGGGUGAGUAACACGUAUCCAACCUGCCGUCUACUCUUGGACAGCCUUCUGAAAGGAAGAUUAAUACAAGAUGGCAUCAUGAGUUCACAUGUUCACAUGAUUAAAGGUAUUCCGGUAGACGAUGGGGAUGCGUUCCAUUAGAUAGUAGGCGGGGUAACGGCCCACCUAGUCUUCGAUGGAUAGGGGUUCUGAGAGGAAGGUCCCCCACAUUGGAACUGAGACACGGUCCAA